rnacentral:rRNA from 1 species
AUUGAACGCUGGCGGCAUGCCUUACACAUGCAAGUCGAACGGCAGCGCGGGAGCAUCCUGGCGGCGAGUGGCGAACGGGUGAGUAAUACAUCGGAACGUGCCCAAUCGUGGGGGAUAACGCAGCGAAAGCUGUGCUAAUACCGCAUACGAUCUACGGAUGAAAGCAGGGGAUCGCAAGACCUUGCGCGAAUGGAGCGGCCGAUGGCAGAUUAGGUAGUUGGUGAGGUAAAGGCUCACCAAGCCUUCGAUCUGUAGCUGGUCUGAGAGGACGACCAGCCACACUGGGACUGAGACACGGCCCAGACUCCUACGGGAGGCAGCAGUGGGGAAUUUUGGACAAUGGGCGAAAGCCUGAUCCAGCCAUGCCGCGUGCAGGAUGAAGGCCUUCGGGUUGUAAACUGCUUUUGUACGGAACGAAACGGUCUUUUCUAAUAAAGAAGGCUAAUGACGGUACCGUAAGAAUAAGCACCGGCUAACUACGUG